rnacentral:rRNA from 1 species
UGGGGAAUAUUGGACAAUGGGCGAAAGCCUGAUCCAGCAAUGCCGCGUGCAGGAAGAAGGCCUUCGGGUUGUAAACUGCUUUUGUACGGACGAAAAGGCUCUUUCUAAUAAAGAGGGCCCAUGACGGUACCGUAAGAAUAAGCACCGGCUAACUACGUGCCAGCAGCCGCGGUAAUACGUAGGGUGCGAGCGUUAAUCGGAAUUACUGGGCGUAAAGCGUGCGCAGGCGGUUCUAUAAGACAGAUGUGAAAUCCCCGGGCUCAACCUGGGAAUGGCAUUUGUGACUGUAGAGCUAGAGUACGGUAGAGGGGGAUGGAAUUCCGCGUGUAGCAGUGAAAUGCGUAGAUAUGCGGAGGAACACCGAUGGCGAAGGCAAUCCCCUGGACCUGUACUGACGCUCAUGCACGAAAGCGUGGGGAGCAAACAGGAUUAGAUACCCUAGUAGUCCCUGAGCGGGCUGGCAAGGCGCAU